rnacentral:rRNA from 1 species
CUGAUGGCGACCGGCGUACGGGUGAGUAACGCGUAUCCAACCUGCCCUUUACUAUGGGACAGCCCGUCGAAAAGGCGGAUUAAUACCGUAUGUUGUCAUGUUGAUGCAUAUUUUCAUGACCAAAGGCUUCGGCCGGUAAAGGAUGGGGAUGCGUCUGAUUAGCUUGCCGGCGGGGUAACGGCCCACCGGGGCGACGAUCAGUAGGGGUUCUGAGAGGAAGGUCCCCCACAUUGGAACUGAGACACGGUCCAAACUCCUACGGAAGGCAGCAG